GGUUCAAUCUUUGUCAUUAGUUGGAAGAACUCAAACAAUUAUAUUUUUUAUUGAUACAUAAGAAAACAAAGGUUACAAUUAUAUUUGAUAAAACAAGGCAUUAUUUUUUUCAUCUAAUAAAGUGUUCGCUUCCCACAUAGACAAGUGCACUUCACGACUUCAGGAGGAGUACACUUUAAAACUGGAAAAUCAAGAUUAAAAUAAUGUUAUUCAAAAGAGAAGAAAUGUUGUAAUAAAAGUAAAAAGUUAAAAUUUAGAAAGGAAAAAAUGAGCUUACCCUUGGCAGUGCAGUGAGUUGCAACAAGAAACAAGAAAAGAAGGUAAAUCGUA
rnacentral:lncRNA from 1 species